UCGUUCUUUUAGCACAUUGGGUUAACCUUAAGUUCGAGGACGAACUUUGUUUUUAGGGGGAGUAGAUGUAAUAUCCCGAAUUUUCGGGUAUUUUCUAAUAAAUUAUUUUGAUAAAUUAAGAUAAUUUUACAAUUAAAAUAAAGUUUUUAAUGAGUUUUAACUAAUAGUCACUACAAGUAUAUUUUCAGAUUUAUUUUAUAAAUUUUCUGAAAUUAGUCUCCUAGUUAAACCUAAUACCCUAAGUAUAUUUUCAGAAUUAAUUUAUAUAUUUUCUGAAAUUAGUCUCCUAGUUAAACCUAAUACCCUAAGUAUAUAUAACCCAAACCUCACAAAAAAAAUCUCUCGUUACAUUAACUGAUAGUAAACCCCUCCUCUCAAUAAUCUCCGCCGUUGUCACAGUACCCUUCCUCUCGACGGAGACUACUUAGGAACCACGCGAGGAGACUACUAGUUUGAGUACGUGCGUGUUCAAGGUUGGUAAAGGUACUUGGCUACGAGUGAGGAGACGCUUAGAAUAACCACCUAGUCAAGAGACAAUUUCUAUUUCAGUUUAAGUUUAAGUUGGUUUUUGUCAUUCAUUUUAUGGGAAUUGGUUGUAGUUUUUAUGGGGCACCUUUUAGACCACUUAGUUAAUUUUGACUUUAAUGAUUUUAAAUUGUUUUGUUGCUUUGCAUUUAUUUUCUAUGGAGAAUAAAUGUAGCAGUGGCACUCCCAAGGUUUGGACGAUUGUUUUAUGAUAUAAAAACA